rnacentral:snRNA from 1 species
AUACUUACAGGGGAGAUGCCAUGAUCACGAAGGUGGUUUUCCCAGGGCGAGGCUUAUACAUUGCACUCUGGAUGUGCUGACCCCUGCCAUUUCCCCAAAUGUGGGAAACUCGACUGCAUAAUUUGUGGGAAUGGGGGACUGCAUUCGCGCUCUCCCCUG